AAAUACUGCCUGGUAAUGAUGAU
rnacentral:miRNA from 1 species